UAUCCAUGUUUGUAAGACUGCUCACAGACUGUUUUACCAGAGAGUUUUCUGGUACUGCAACAUCUACCACUAAUCUCUGUGAUCCCUUUGAAUUGGCAAAAUAAGAAUAGUGCUAUAGAUUUCUUCCAAAUACAGAAAACAUAAGUAUGAAAAUGUUCUUGCUGUUGAUUAUAUUCUUUACCAAUCUGUUUGUAUGGGAUUUUUGGUACUUCACUUGAAAAAUGAGUCCAAGGUACUGUGAUGUGAUUGUUUACUUUGUGUGGCCUUUCUAGCCAUGGUCUUAUAACAUCCACCCUGGUGCUUGGGCAGGACUGUGUGAUAGGGUAAUUGUGGCUCACCAAGAGGAUUGUUUAUUUUGCCUUCAAAGAGAACCAGUUCCAGAGCAAAGAGGAGGAUUCAACUCCCAUCAAGGAAGAACAGCCAAGAGCCGAGCGUAUAUUAUGGACCUGAGAUCCCUGCACUGAGAAGCUCCUAGAAGCAGGAGACUGAGAUAGAGAGAGGAAGCUGUAACCCUGAAGAUGCUUAAAUACAGACCAGAAGAGGAGUUUGGGGCUUGACACCUGACAUCUUAACACCAGUUCCUGUUUCUUGAGGAAGGAAGAGGUAAAAUAAAUCAGCGUUUGCUGUUUCCUUCUCCAUCCCCGGAAGUCCUGAUGAAGACCCUCUCAGGUAAGGAUUGACAGGGAGUGGCUUGGUUUACUAUUCAACUUUGUCCUUCAGUAACUUUGUUUAUGUCCUGCAUGUAAACUGUUGUGCAUUGAGAAGCAUUCUAAUUCUUGUGCAGAAGGACUAGACCUCCUGCAGAAUGACUAUAUUGUGCCUCCCUCGGGCACCCUUGUCUGCGCAGCACCCCCCAAUGCCAACUGCCCAACCGCCUCUCUCCUGGCAUUCUGCUUCUAGAAGCAUGUUCUUUUGAUGCAGAGAUGCAGCACACACAGAAUCCCAGCUGGAUUACAGACUUGAACCUGAAGACCUUAUGCAGAAUGACAAUUUAUGAACCACUAAGCUCAGUACUAAAGCAGCUUCAACUUGAACGUGAAUAUGAGCAACUGAUCAUCUGUUCUGCAGUCAGCCCCUGCCCUGAUUCUGACUCAUGAUAUUGACCAAGUGAAGAGUGAUUCAGAGAAAAACAUGGAUAGAGUGUGACCUAAUUUCCAUAAAAACAAACAAAUGAAUGUACUUACAUGUGUCCCGGCAAAAAGAAGUGUGUAAAAGGGUACAUAUGUAUCUUUGGACACUGGACACUUCAGGGGAGCAGGUAUAAUAUACUUAUGUGGGGAUGGCUCUUAUUAUAACUUCUAUAUACAAAUCUCUAUUGUUAAAUGUGUUAUAAGAAUGUAAAAGCUUUUAAAGUUUAAUAACAUCAUACGUGUAUGUGUGUGUAUUUGAAACUUUUUUUCUUUUGACUAUUUUAUAUAUGUGUUUUUUAGUUAUCUAGUUUUUUUUUUAGUGUGGCUAUAGCAGAGAUACCAAAAGUGGAUGGCUUUAACAAACAGAAACUUAUUCUCUCACAGUUUAAGAAGCAACAAGUUUGAAGUCAGGGCACCAGGUCUAGGAGAAAGCUCUCUCUCUUUGUGGCUCUGGGGGAAGGUCCUUGUCAUCUAUCUUCCCCUGGCCUAGGAAAUUCUCAGCGCGUGGACACUGGGUCAAAAAGACGUGCUCCACUCCAGGCACUUCUUCCUUGGUGGUAUGAGGUCCCUCUCAUUUCCGCUCACUCUUCUCUUUGUAUCUCAAAAGAGACUGACUCAAGACUCACCCUAAUCCUGUAGAUUGUGUCCUCCCUCAUUAACCUAACUGCCUCUAAUCCCGCCUUAUUUACAUCACAGAGGUUAGAAUUUACAACACAUAAGUAAUCACAUCAGAUCACAAAAUGCAGGACAACCACACAAUACUGGGAAUCAUGGUCUGGCCAGGUUGGCACACAUUUUGGGGGACACUAUUCAAUCCAUAACAACAGAGAAAACACUGUCUUCAAUGCCAGAUUCAGAGACUUUUAUCAAUCUAUGAAGGGCAAACACAGAAAUUGAACAAAAUUCAGACCAGCGAAUUAUUGCUUGCUCUUGUAACUAAUGACUUCUUCUGGUCUCUGUACCUGGAAAUGGCCAAAAAGAAUUCUGUGAGGAUUAAUUCAGUUAUUGCUAAAACAUCUACUGCAUUUACAUGUCUACAGAUAAGGAAUAAUGCUGGACACCAUGUGUGAUUCAUUAAGUAACACAGGGACUAUUAGACUGUUGUUCUCCUUCUCUGAUAUGCCACUAUCACCUUCUCCCCUUGUUGCUCUCCUGAAAAACCCACACUUGUAUAUUCUAGGCUUUUUUCCAGGAUUGAAUUUGCAGGAAGUUGAAGAUACAUCUUUGAAAGAUAAAGAAGACUUUGGCCACAUUGUCUUUAGACAGUCGAACUUCCCAGCCAGCCUCUGUGCAGGAUGGGAAUUCACAAUCCCUCCUACUCAGUACCUCUGAGCAGGACGGGAUUUCUGUUUCAUUAUCAGGAGACUGUGGAAUUCACCCCUCUUCAGAAAACUUACUUUCCUUUGCCUCAAACUGUCCCUCUCAGGAUCUGUCACGGUCACUCUGAGAAAUUCACAUGGGCAGCCUGUAUGGAAGUGCCCAUCCUAGAGUCCCUGCCCUCCCUUCCUUGCUCCGUAGGGCUUCCUCCGACACUUGGGGUCACAUCUCCCAGGGAGUACACACCUCUGGCACUUCCAGGGAUUCCCAGGCCCUGGGAUACUGUGGAUGGGACUUGGAACUCAAUCUGUUUCUUCCCAUCCUCACCUUUGGUUAUCUGUGUUCUGUCUUCACCAGAUUUAGGAGGCCUUGUCUUCUCUUUGCUCAUUUCAUUUCAGUCAGGCUUUUCUAUUCCAACUCUCUGAUCUCAGGACACAUCAGGUUAGACCACAGAAAAGAGAAAGACCAAGCAAACAUCACUGAUCUGUGCAGAAGCUGCUGGGAAGGGAUUCGAUUCUCAUUGGUUUAGGGUUUUAAGCCCACUGCUCACCGGCAGGCAGGUUCCCCCCAGAGUCUGGCUUCUGUCUGGUACCUUGUACUACAAAGAACUCAGUGACCAGCCCACCUUCACAAUCACACCUCCCUUAGAGCUAUCUUUGCAGAGGCUGUUUCUCAGACUUCCAUGUCCCACUGAAAUCCCAUUUCUCUUUCCUUACAAACAUUGUGCUCAUUCUCAGGGCCCUGAGACCUCAUCUGCAGGUGAGUCUUGUCCUCUUCUCUCCUUGGCGGGGGGAGCUUUGGAGUGGACCUCAUGUCUUUGGACAGCUAUCCUGGGGCUUCUUCCACCCUGGUGCUCUAGGGCUGCAUCUCUCCAUGUACUUGAGGGGUCGUGGAAGGGGCACAAGGCUAAAAGAGUGGAUCUUCCAGGUGAGGUGGGUUUAAGAAGCCUGAAUGAAGUUCUUCCCUGAAGGGUGCAUAUUUUGCAGUCCAGACAUCCUGCUCCUCUCAGUCUAAGUGUCCUAGCACGUCUUCAGGUGCUUUCUCCUUUGACCUUGAGGCCAUGCCUGCACCCUCUGCAGCCAGGUCUCCGACAUGUGUAGCAGCACCAGUAGGUGUGGUAGCCUCUUCAGCCCCUGUCUCCUCCUCCAGAUGCUCCUGGAGGUGCCUGGCUCUUCUUGCCAGGACUCCAGGAUGCUGACCAGGGACUCAGUGUUGGUUAGACUGAGGGCAGACCUGAUGGCACUCACUUUCUUCAAAAACUCGGCCUCAAGACCAGGGGCCUUUUGCCGACAGGGGUGUGAGAUGUUUUGGUCUGGUCUGCCAGACCAUGGCUAACCCCUUGACCUUACACACUUGGGUAGAAUACUCAUACUUGACCUAUGGAUCUCUGGAGUAAUUUGAUGAGUGGGAAUUCUGCCUAGUGGAAGCUGAUGCAAAAGGCCUCGCUGAUACUUGGGGAAUCUUCCUGGGCUUGGAACUUGGGCUUUUUGUUCUCAUGUUCUACCCUGAGUGACACUUUCCUCUUGGGUUGAGACUUGCAAUAAUGGAGAGUUAAUUUACAUGAGCCCUCUGGGCUCUGGUGUCUCAACUGUGACCUAAGUCUCUGGUCUAGGCAUCCCUGGAGGCCUCUCCAUCACCACCAUCCUCCACUUCCACAGUCCCCAUGGUUUCUUUCUUCUUCCCCAGGCACAGACCAUACUUUAGGGAAUUUACUCUGGGCAAU